rnacentral:rRNA from 1 species
GAUGAACGCUGGCGGCGUGCCUAAUACAUGCAAGACGAGCGAACGGACGAGAAGCUUGCUUCUCUGAUGUUAGCGGCGGACGGGUGAGUAACACGUGGAUAACCUACCUAUAAGACUGGGAUAACUUCGGGAAACCGGAGCUAAUACCGGAUAAUAUUUUGAACCGCAUGGUUCAAAAGUGAAAGACGGUCUUGCUGUCACUUAUAGAUGGAUCCGCGCUGCAUUAGCUAGUUGGUAAGGUAACGGCUUACCAAGGCAACGAUGCAUAGCCGACCUGAGAGGGUGAUCGGCCACACUGGAACUGAGACACGGUCCAGACUCCUACGGGAGGCAGCAGUAGGGAAUCUUCCGCAAUGGGCGAAAGCCUGACGGAGCAACGCCGCGUGAGUGAUGAAGGUCUUCGGAUCGUAAAACUCUGUUAUUAGGGAAGAACAUAUGUGUAAGUAACUGUGCACAUCUUGACGGUACCUAAUCAGAAAGCCACGGCUAACUACGUG